rnacentral:lncRNA from 1 species
UAAAAAUAGAACCUUUACUUCUGGGAAAAAUUUAUAUUGAAUGCAGCCAAGUAAGAAUAAAUUUAUGUAUUUAUUUUAAUACAUAAAUUAUCUGAAUAUAAUGAAUAAACACAAAUGUUCUGAAUAAAAGUUCAAACAAGUAAAAGCCAGUUUCUUUGAUGUGGUUAUAUUACAAAUUGUAUCAUAUUUUAGUUUCUUACUAUAUUUUAUGUAGGUAUAUAAGAAUACCCCACUAUUUUAUGGAAACUUCAUGAGCUUUUUUUGAACACUUUAGGCCUUGCCACCUCAUUCUUUAAUGAAAAAAACAUGAAUAUUACAAAGGAUUUGUUGGAUCUUCUUGUAGAAGCUAAACAAGAAGUGCCUUCUUGGUUGGAAAAUAUGGCUUAUGAACACCACUACAAGGGUGGCAAUCGUGGACGUUCUAAAAGAUUCAGUGGAGGAUUUGGUGCCAGAGACUAUCGACAGAGUAGUGGUUCCAGCAGUUCUGGCUUUAGUAGUAGUCGUGGAAGCAGCAGCCGCAGUGGUGGAGGUGGCUAUGGAGGCUUCUACAAUAGUGAUGGAUAUGGAGGAAAUUAUAACUCCCAGGGGUUGACUGGUGGGGCAACUGAAUCUGCUUUGCAGCAAAGUCACCCUUACAAACAAGCUAAUAUGGAAACCACAUGUAACUUAGCCAGACUAUAUCGUGUAGCUUCAAGAACUUGCAGUACAUUACCAGCUAUGAUUCUCCUGAUAAUUCAAGGGAGCUCAAAGUCACAAGAAGAAAAUGAAUAAAUAGCAGCCCUAUUCAGAAAUUGGUUUGAAGAUGUGAUUGCUAUAGUUUGGAUUUAA